GUCCACGCCCUAAACGAUGUUUACUUGCUGUUCCUGCGCAAGCGGGAGUGGCGAAGCGAAAGCGCUAAGUAAACCACCUGGGGAGUACGCCGGCAACGGUGAAACUCAAAGGAAUUGACGGGGUCCGCACAAGCGGUGGAGCAUGUGGUUUAAUUCGAUGAUACGCGAGGAACCUUACCAAGGCUAGAAUGGGAGAGGAAUGUCGGUGAAAGCCGGCAGGCCGCAAGGACUUCUUCCAAGGUGCUGCAUGGCUGUCGU
rnacentral:rRNA from 1 species